rnacentral:rRNA from 1 species
UACGUAGGGGGCUAGCGUUGUUCGGAAUUACUGGGCGUAAAGCGCACGUAGGCGGCUCAGCAAGUUAGGGGUGAAAUCCCGGGGCUCAACCCCGGAACUGCCUUUAAGACUGUUGGUCUGGAGUCCGAGAGAGGUGAGUGGAAUUCCGAGUGUAGAGGUGAAAUUCGUAGAUAUUAGGAAGAACAUCAGUGGCGAAGGCGGCUCACUGGCCCGGUACUGACGCUGAGGCGCGAAAGCGUGGGGAGCAAACAGG